UUCCGGUUGAUCCUGCCGGAGGCCACUGCUAUGGGGGUCCGACUAAGCCAUGCGAGUCAUGGGGCGCCUUGCGCGCACCGGCGGACGGCUCAGUAACACGUCGGUAACCUACCCUCGGGAGGGGGAUAACCCCGGGAAACUGGGGCUAAUCCCCCAUAGGCCUGAGGUACUGGAAGGUCCUCAGGCCGAAAGGGGCUCUGCCCGCCCGAGGAUGGGCCGGCGGCCGAUUAGGUAGUUGGUGGGGUAACGGCCCACCAAGCCGAAGAUCGGUACGGGCCAUGAGAGUGGGAGCCCGGAGAUGGACACUGAGACACGGGUCCAGGCCCUACGGGGCGCAGCAGGCGCGAAACCUCCGCAAUGCGGGCAACCGCGACGGGGGGACCCCCAGUGCCGUGGCAUCGCCACGGCUUUUCCGGAGUGUAAAGAGCUCCGGGAAUAAGGGCUGGGCAAGGCCGGUGGCAGCCGCCGCGGUAAUACCGGCGGCCCGAGUGGUGGCCGCUAUUAUUGGGCCUAAAGCGUCCGUAGCCGGGCCCGUAAGUCCCUGGCGAAAUCCCACGGCUCAACCGUGGGGCUUGCUGGGGAUACUGCGGGCCUUGGGACCGGGAGAGGCGGAGGGUACUCCUGGGGUAGGGGUGAAAUCCUAUAAUCCCAGGAGGACCGCCAGUGGCGAAGGCGCUCCGCUGGAACGGGUCCGACGGUGAGGGACGAAGGCCAGGGGAGCGAACCGGAUUAGAUACCCGGGUAGUCCUGGCUGUAAAGGAUGCGGGCUAGGUGUCGGGCGAGCUUCGUGCUCGCCCGGUGCCGAAGGGAAGCCGUUAAGCCCGCCGCCUGGGGAGUACGGCCGCAAGGCUGAAACUUAAAGGAAUUGGCGGGGGAGCACUACAAGGGGUGGAGCGUGCGGUUUAAUUGGAUUCAACGCCGGA
rnacentral:rRNA from 1 species